rnacentral:lncRNA from 1 species
CGGAGGGCGCCCAGCGGGCGGAACGCACGGCAUUGCCCGCCGGUGCCCGGCACAGCUGGGCGUGGGCUUUGUUCGGAGGCGCUCACACCUGCGCGGGGCGAGUUCGUGGGGCGAGGCCGGAUUCCCUCGGCUCCCGCCGCUCCGGAGAGGACUCAGAAGUCGGCGAGGACGGCGGUGCGGGCACUGGCGGGGGGCUUUGUUGGUCUGCGAGUGCGAGCCCGGGAGUCCCAGCACCACACCCAGCCUCUGAGGACCUGACCAGCGCUCCGGGCUCGGGACGGAGGGGAAAAUCCCUUCGCGGAGGCAGCUCCGCCGCGAGCACAGGCAAAUGAGAAGCCCCUUUUGGCCUCUAUUCGUGUCAGAGGCUGAAGUUUCUACCAUCCAUCUGGCUUUAUUGAGGUAUAACUGACAAAUAAAAAUCGCAUAUAUUUAAGGUUGGUGUUUUGAUGGAGAUAUAUGUUGUGAAAUAAUUACCAUAAUCAAACUAGUAACAUAUCCAUCACCUUGAAUGUUGCUUUUUGCAGUGAGAACAUUUAAGAUCUGUUGCCUUAGGAAGUUUCAAGAAUGCAGUACAGCAUGAUUAAACAUAGCCAUCAUGCUAUACAUCACAUCUCUAAUAUUUAUUCCUCCUACCUAACUGAACUUUGUACGCUUUGACCAGCAUCUCCCCAUUUCCCACCCACACCCCACACCCCACUCUGAAAUCACCACUCUACUCUCUGCUCCUGUGAGUUUGGUUAAAAUUUCUAAGAACGAUAAAAUGUACCCAAAUCAAUGAUUAUUGUCUUGGCUUUUUUGUGGGGGGGGGGAGUACCGGGGAUUGAACUUGGGACCUUGUGUUUGCAAAUCAAUGAUUAUUAAUUUUCCCUCUCAAAAUGAGAAAGAGCAGACUACAUGAGGGAGUAAAAUUUAGGAAUGGCUUUGCUUUCAGUUUUAGCAACUUAAAUCCUUCACUAUCAGGUUAUUUUUAAAUGAAGGGACAAGUGCAAUAUAUUGUUAUAAAAUAUGAUGUUAUUGCUGAGUUACUUUUUCAUUGUGGUAAAGCACGUAACAUAUAAAAUUUACAAACUUACCCAUUUUAAAGUACGGUAUAUGGUUUAGUGACAGCAGGUGCAGUGGCGUUGUGUGCAGCCAUCACCACUCUCCGUCUGCAGGACGUUUGUAUCUCCCCAAACUGAGACUUUGACCCAUGAAACAAUAACUUAUCCUUUCUCCCCCAGCCCCUGGCAACCACCAUUCUACUUUGUGUCAUUGAAUUUACCUGCCCUUAGCACAUCAUAGGGUUGGAGUCAUACAGGCUUUGUUCUUUUGUGACUAGCUUGUUUCAUUUAGCGUAAUGUCAUCAAGAUUCAUCCGUGUAUCAAAAUUUCCUUCCCUUGUAUACAUAUUUCAUUCUUCAUAUACUACAUUUUGCUUAUUCAUUCCUCAGCUGGUGGGCACCUGGAUUAUUUCUGCUUUUUGGCUAUUCGUAUGAUUCUGUUGUGAACAUAGGUGUACAGUACAAAUAUCUGUUUGAGUCUCUGCUUUGAAUUUGUUUGGGUAUAUACUCAGAAAUGAAACUGCUGGGUCAGAUAGUGCUUAUAUUUUAACAUUUCUGAGGAGCCACCUUCCUGUUCUCUGUAGCAGCUGCAUCAUCUUACAUUCCCACCACCUGUGCAUAGGGGUUUGAGUUUCUCCACAUCAUCCUUGACACUUGUUACUUUCUGUUUUCUUGAUAAUGGCUAACCUAAUGGGUAGGAGAUGCUGUCCCUGUACUUUCUAAAGUUUUUACUAAAAGGAGACAUAGAUUCCAACAAGUUUUGAUUGGCUACAUGCAUUUGUGUAAAGCAUGGAAUAGAUGCUGUGCAGUAUGUGUAUUGUCAUAUCCAGGAUAGGAAAGCACUAUUGACAUACUCUUGUGGAUUUUUUUGUUUUCAUUCAGGGUCUCACCAUGUAGUUCAGGCUGACCUUGAACUCACUAUGUAGCCAAGGCUGCCCUUGAACUCCCAGAGAUCCUCCUGCCUCGCCUCCUGAGCACUGGGAUUAUAGGCGUGUGCCACCACGCCUAGCCUCUUGUUGAUUUCUUUAAGAGCGUGAAUUGAAGUGUAUAUGUCUCUGGUGCACUCGUGCCAAAUGUUCUUGCUACAAGAGUAGAUUAAAUUAGUAUGCGGUGGCAUUAUUGGCCCCCCAUAUGACAUUAUUAUUUUAAUUCUGGUCAAGAGCAAAUUAGAUCUAAAAAUAGAUUGGAAUAUCUUUAUGCUGAAUGUGUAGGGAUGUGCUGGAGUUGUAAAUUACAGUUCUGCAUUGGACAUUUCUACUCACCAUUGAAUCUUCAAAGAUGACAGCAUAAACCCUUGCCACCCAAUUAUAAUUGCUUAGCCAAGCUAAUAAAAAAGAUGUGGUGUCAACUUAAUCGACCUAUUUUCCUGGCCUACAAGAUUGGAAUUUCAAAUUAGAAAAAAAAUUUAACAGUCUGAUGCAGGAUUUCCCUCAAGUGACUAAAAAGCUAGUGGGUAUAAGAAAUGCCAGUGGCAAAAGGAACAAAUUUACCACUACUAAUUCUACUCCAUGGCUCAACCUGUCCAGAUGGCUUACUCAGCUUAAAAACAGAAAUGACAAAUCCUAUCUUGUGUUAUAUGUUCUCUGAUUUUCUUCUAUAUUGCCCUGUAUUAAAGCAUUGUUAAAUUCAUGUGAGAAUGAAAUGACUGUUACUAUUGGACAAAAAGGAUGCUUUACAAAUCCUUAUUAUUAAAUGAUAGGAGGACUGGAAAAAGUUUUUUGAAUAUAUAUUCAUAUAUAUUUAAAUUUUAUGAUGUGUAUGGUAUAUUGGUUCAAAAUCCAUUGUUGCCAGAAAAACCAUUCCCAGGGUAAUCUGAGGGAAUCCUGUAGGAGGUCUUCCACUGGGUAAUAUGCAAUGAAUUUGAUUUAUCUUUCUCAAGUGGGCUGAGAGCAUUCAAAAAAUUCAGUACAUGUAUUCAGCAUGUAGUGAUCUUUUUUCCAAAUUUCAACUUUAAAGCUAAUUCCAUGCCACUUUCAGAUGUCUCGGCAUUUGAAUGUAUGCUUUACAGUAUGCAUUUUUGAUGAACAUUACAAGCCCAUGUUAAACACCAUGAACAGAUUCUCUCUCAAGGGAAAGGGAGAGGAAAAGUACUAAUCUUCCACUAAUUACGCCUUAAGGUAAGAAUGAACUGUGAAAGAGGUUCAUCCUGGAGUUUUUCUGGUUCUUUGAGGGAGGAUGGCUUGUGAGCAAGCAUGCUGCCGCCUUCCAAAGCUUGGUGCGCCUUUUCAGUCUCUUACCUCAAUAGAGAGCUGAAAGGACAAAAGUGAACAAAGGAGGCCUGUUUUGCCUGCCCCACUUGCUGGGCUGUUGUCUUGGCCCUUUUCAGUGAAGGGAGGGGGGGUGUUGGGUCAAAGUUGAAGAACACUGAAAAGGAAUUCAAGCUUCAUGUUGAAAUUUGAAUUAUAGCUUCAGUUUGAGUGCUCUGUAGAUUAGUUGGAAUUAAAAUUUUUGAAUGUAUGGAAGCCUAAGUGACAGAUGGUGUUGGAACAACGCACAUAGUGCUGGGUGGUGUACCCGAAAUGUUGAGUGCCCAGGCAAGGCACUCAGUAAACAUCUAGUUAAAUGACAAAAGUUGGAAAACUGUAGGACGUGCAGCUCGAUGCUGUACACCCCAUGAAGACAUUGCACCGUGCGAAUUAAGGAGAGGCCCCUGUGUCUGGCAUACACUCAGAUGCACUUGGCCCCUCUAAUUGCAUUGCAAAUAUUCUUCUGACUGUUUCGCAGUGUUCCCCUCUCCUAUCUAGUUAAAUCAGUACAGAAAUGCCCAGCUAGCUUCCCUUGUAAAAUUACAGUCUUUUGCUGUUGUCUUCAGAGUGUUUGAUAUAUAAGAUAAAACUUUUGCAAAUACUGACUACCCAGUGUUUUUCCCUUCUGUGAAUAUCCUUAUGAAGAGUGAUUUUUUGCUUUCUGGUUCCAGUGUGGGGAGGUCAAUUACUCUUAUAUUUGCUAUUGAAGUUUUUGUAUGGCAUUUAGUUCUCCAUUCAAUUUGGUAGGCAGCAUCUGAUUUAAAAUGUUUUAAUUGGAGAAGUUAGUUGUAUAUGUAACUAGAAUAACAAAACAGCUACUAGGAAGAAGAGGUUACUAGACUGUAAAGAAAAUUUUUAAAAAGCUAGGGGUAAUUUGAAACUUUUCCUAGUAUCCCAUAAAGCUACUACUAGAAAUUGAAAAAUUGUAGUAUUUGAAAACUGGAAUAGUGAAAGUUGAAAAAUUAUCAAAUUUUGCUUUGUCAUCUUUGACUACUUAAAUGACUUGAUGACAUAGUCUUUUGUUCUGAUAUUUGUAGCAUGAUGGUUAAAAUCCAUUUUAUAUACAUGUUUAAUACAUUUAAAUAAAUAUCUCUUCUUUUAGGGACUUGAGAGUGAUAUGAGCAAAACAGUAAGGUAGAAAUUCAGACAUAAGUAAUACUAUAAUAUAAACAAAAGCUAAUUUGCUUCAGAAUUGAUCAUAUUGCCUUAUAUGACAUGAUAUAUGUAUUUUACAUAAGUUGUGGUAUAUACUUUGUAUAUCUCAUAAAUUUUAAGGUAAAUUGCAUUUUAAUAGAUGAAGUGUGUUAAGACACCAUGCCUGUAAUCUAUAUGUUACUAGCAACUGUUACCAUGAUGCAGAAUUGUAGUGGAAGGUAAGUGAUGUAUCAGGGAUUGAUUGCUGUCCUGGUUCUGCUAAACCACAGAGAAUGAGGGAGUUCAUGGUCAGUGGUUUCCUGUGUGGGGACUGGGAAUGGAAGAUUAGGGAUGAGAGAGUGUGAGGGCUUCAGAUAAAGGGAGGCUCAGGUGAGUAAUGAGAAUUCUGACAACUUGAAGAAGUGUCCUAAAGCAGAAGGAGUGAGAGAAAAUUUAAAUAAUGAAGACAGUGAAGAGGAGAGCACUGUAAAGGUAAUAACUUAAAACAGGAAAGUAUAAGAAAGGGAGGAGAAUAAAAAUUGUAUAGUGAUUGCUUGGCUAAUGGAGGAUAGUCUCCAUUUCAUUGCAUCUAAUCCUAAACAUCUUAGAGAUAUUUUAUUGUGGGACUUUAGGCCACCCAAGUGACUUGCUAUCGUAAAAUAGAAAUAACUCUUAAAUCACCCUGCAAAAAUGAAAUGUGAUAGCACUUUUAGAGUUAAUAGAAACGUAUUAAGAAUUUUCCAAGUCAAAGCUAAAGUUGUUUCAUCAUAACAGUUAAAUUCUUAGCUAGAUCAGCUCUUCUUUCUGGCUAUUUUGUUCCUGUAUAUACAGGUGGCCCCAGCUUGAGGAAGUUAGAAAUGUAAAAAUGUGAACUUGGAAAACCUAUUUGGGGUAAUUAUUCAUGUCAAACAGGAUUCUUCACUGUGCAUAGGAUGGUAUGGUGAGUGAACUCCUAUAAUGUAUCAAAGUUAAGUUCAGGAACAAUUUUUCAGGAUCAUCUAAGUAGAGAGUUUCUUCCGUCAACUGAAGGAGCAUAGCAUAAUAGAUACCCAGUGAAACCUGAGCAAAUAAGGCUAGAUAAAAGUCAGGUGGACAGGUCGUACAUGAAGAGAAGUAACUUAACUGCAUGAAAAUACUUGAUAUUUUCUCUCAAUAACAUUGAGCGGCCAGGUCCCUCCAUGAUAAAGAAAAGUAGAAAAAAUAGUCUGAAGUUUGUCAGCUUUCCUUGGGUCUCUGACCACAGAAACUGAGUUCUUUCUCUGUUCCAUUAGGAGCCUGAGAUGCUUUUCUCAUUGUGGCUGGUGUAUGUAUGUGAGAGCCCCAUAUUUGAAGAAUGAAUGAGCAAAAGAAUGAAUGACCAGAUACAUGAAUAUUGCAGAAUAUCAGAAUGUCAGGUAGAUCUUUUGUUGGACAAAGCAGGGGAUUUUCGGCCCUGGAUUGAAGACAUAGAUGAAGUCUAGACCAUAGCAAAUCAAACAUUCAUAAUUUCAUGCUUGGAUUCUGUAGAUUGUAAUUUGCUUCCUGAUUCUAAAUUAGGGACUUGAGCAGGCGGUUGAAAUGAUUCAAUCCAGAAGGGUACCAUUUUUAAAAUUGCAGUCAUGGAAUCCUAAAUGCUAUCUCUGUGACCCUGAAGAGUGUCUCUAUAAUUUUCCACCUUUGCUCACGACAGAUGAUUCCAGAUUUGCACACAGCUUUCCUUCCCCUCUGCUGUCUGAAACUGGUGCUUGUCAUUCCCCACCGGAGGUGUCUGGGUGGCUGCACACUGAUUGAGUUAAGCACUUUCUGAGAUUGCUUUCCACCAUCUGAGUGUGAAGAAAUCAGAAGUGAGGCACACAGGACAGAAAUGAAAAGUGAGAAGGCUGGCAGGCCAGCACAUGAGGAGCUCAGCACUCAUGCUGAAGCUUCACAAACAGAAUCUCCUUUCCUUGGUGGUGGGUCAUUAGCACUCCUCUCUGUUGUUUGCCACAUCUUUUUUUUUUUUUUGGUAUCGGGGAUCGAACUUGGGACCUUGAGUUUUCGAGGCAGGCAGCGGAAAUACUGAGCUAAAUCCGUGACUCUCACAUCUGUUGUUUUAUUCCAAGAUGUGAGCUGAGUUACUUCAUGGCCUUUCUCAACUAGUUAGGGGGUUAGAUCAAUUAGGAAAUGUCAUUAUACUACAUCACUUUGAAAAUUGACUAAGUGCCUCAUUUUCCUUUGUAGAAAAUAGAGAUAAAACAUUAAAACAUUUUUACCACCCAACCUUACUUCACCAAGAUAUGUAAAUACGUAAUAAAUGAUGAUAAAAACAAAAGUACCGAAGGAAUGAUGAUAUGACUCUAUAUUACUGUUAGGUACAAUGUGCCUGCCAUUUUUUUUCCCACCAUAACAUUCUGGCAAAAUUUGCUUCAGGGAUUGAUAUGUAUGUAUCAUAUAACCUUAGCGACAGCUAUAUCUAUCUUGAUUUUGAAUAAAUGAAGUAGUCUCAAGCUGCAGUGUGAGACCCCAAUACCCUUAUUGAUGGGGCGUGAUGGAUCUGUUUUUUAAAAACAUUAUAUUGAGUCAGAUUGAGUCAACAUGACAGAGAUGUAAAUUCAGCAGAUAUUUUUCCCUAUUUGCAUUUCUGUCACCAGUAGAAUCUUAAAAUUUGAUUGUGUUUCUUUCAAGCCAUAAUCUCAUUCAUAUUUAUCAAGAGGAGAUUCAGUAAUUUGUUUUGUGUCCGCCAUGACUAACUAGCAACCUCACAAAUCAAUAAAGCAUGAAACCAUUGUAAUAUAUUCAUCCAACCUGCAAACUCCAUAUGCUCAGAAAUUUGAUAUAAAGAGAUUUAUGUAUGAGGCUUGUGGGCAGAUUUGUUUAUACCAUUGGUCUUCAGAAGACUAAUUCUGCUAACACCUUGAUUCUGAAAGGUAGAUUUCUGGCUUCCAGAAUUGCAAGACAAUAAAAUUCUGUUGUUUAAGUCCUUCAGUUUGAGGUGCUUUGAUACAGCAGCCCUAGCAAACUGACAACACAGUAAUAAGUUUACCUGUUGCUAAACCUAUUCCUUACAAAAAAGAAAGGGUAAAAGUGUAGCUUCCCUGUGCCUCCAUGUUCCUAUAUUUGCAUCUAUAUAUUCUAUAUAUAUAGUUUGUGUAUCAUAGGAGUAUAUAUGUACAUAUAUAAGGUAUUAAGAGAGUCACUGUACCUUGAAUUGAGAUUCAGACCUGCUGGGAUUUGUGGGGGGAAUAUUAUUUGUAUAAACUGCACAAAUAGAUGAAGUUGGGAGUUGAUUACCCUUUUUGGUAAUAAUCAAGUUGACUGCAACUUGGUUGCCCCAUCAAGUGUAAAUUGUCAUCACCUUGAAACUCAAGGGGCUAUAUUUUGUUAAAGUCUCUUCAGGUGCCUUUGGUGCUCCUUGCAAAUUCAAAGGUUUUUUUGGACAGGAAAAUGAUAUGAUUGUUGGUAUUUACUCAUGCUGAGGAAAGCAAAGCCUCAGACAAGCUCUCAGACAACUUCCAUCUGAAUGCUGCUACCAUGGGGAAGGGAAAGGAUGUCACUGUGAGAAGUUCUCAGCUGUCAUCACAUGGCACCACUGACUAUUUGAGGAAGCAGGACUGCCAUGAGAUUUGGAUAAACUUGAAUGCUAGUUUGAACAUUGUAAACUCUAAAACCAUUUCAGCCAGCCCUUUCUGAUGUCUUCCCAUUUCGUGUGAAUGUCUGCUCUUCAUUUCCAGCAGCAGCAGCAGCAUGGCCUGUCUUAGCUGUUAAGCUCCUCUGGGCAGUGACCUGACUGUUAAGAUUGUGUGCAUGGCAUUUAGUGGGCAGCUCCAUCCAAAAAGAGGCCUCAGGGGCUGGGGAUUUAGCUCAGUGGUUCCACCACCUGCUGGGCAAGCUCAAGGUCCCAAGUUCCAUCCCUGGUACCAAAAAAUACCCAACCAAACAAAAAGCCUCAUUGUUUUAAAUAAUACCAAUAAUCCCAGUGCAGAGGAGGAGGCUUCCGGGCCGCCUCCCAGGGCAGAGGAAGAGGCUUCUGGGUCAACGUGCCACUGCUCCCAGCACAGAGGAGGGGAGCCUCGCCGGCGCCAGUAGCACUACCCCGCCCCCCCGCCAUCGAAAUGAGAAGAUGCAUAAACAAGCCUCACAACCAGACUUCCAGAUCACCUAAAGCAACCCCAAAAGGAAACGAGAUGGCGUACUCUGAUACUCAACCACCUAGACUCUCCAAACUGGCAACAAAAGAGGAUCUGGAAAAAUGAAAUCAGAAAUAAUUUCUCAGAUAACAGC